UACGUAGGGUGCGAGCGUUAAUCGGAAUUACUGGGCGUAAAGUGUGCGCAGGUGGCUUCGCAAGUCGAGUGUGAAAUCCCCCGGGCUUAACCUGGGAAUUGCGCUCGAAACUACGGAGCUGGAGUAUGGCAGAGGGAGGUGGAAUUCCACGUGUAGCGGUGAAAUGCGUAGAGAUGUGGAGGAACACCAAUGGCGAAGGCAGCCUCCUGGGCCAAUACUGACACUCAUGCACGAAAGCGUGGGGAGCAAACAGG
rnacentral:rRNA from 1 species